AGUGAACGCUGGCGGUAGGCCUAACACAUGCGAGUCGAGCGGCAGCACAGUAAGAGCUUGCUCUUACGGGUGGCGAGUGGCGGACGGGUGAGGAAUACAUCGGAAUCUACUUUUUCGUGGGGGAUAACGUGGGGAAACUUACGCUAAUACCGCAUACGACCUACGGGUGAAAGCAGGGGAUCUUCGGACCUUGCGCGAUUGAAUGAGCCGAUGUCGGAUUAGCUAGUUGGCGGGGUAAAGGCCCACCAAGGCGACGAUCCGUAGCUGGUCUGAGAGGAUGAUCAGCCACACUGGAACUGAGACACGGUCCAGACUCCUACGGGAGGCAGCAGUGGGGAAUAUUGGACAAUGGGCGCAAGCCUGAUCCAGCCAUACCGCGUGGGUGAAGAAGGCCUUCGGGUUGUAAAGCCCUUUUGUUGGGAAAGAAAAGCAGCAGGUUAAUACCCCGCUGUUCUGACGGUACCCAAAGAAUAAGCACCGGCUAACUUCGUG
rnacentral:rRNA from 1 species